GGGGGUGCACCGGUUUCGACGAUUGUGAUCAAGGCACUUACUGCAUGUGGGAGUCAAGGUUCCCUAAACUGAGAAAACAAUAACUGCAAUUUUCGAAAGAAAAGAAGAAGAAGUCGAAGAGGCUUCUUUCGCAGAAGCUCUCGCUGCUUAAUUGCGCUUGAGCCGGAACUAGUGGGGUGCUGUUCCUAACUUCAUUACUUCCGUCACAAACAGGGACUUGCUGUGCGUAAUUUUUGGGGUGCGCAUGGGACUUUUACUCAGAAUACGGAGGAGACGCUUGUUAUGCUGCUACCUGCUCCCGACAACCACCUCGCAUAACUAAACAUGUAGAUGUAUUUGGCUUCCACUUUCGGACGGGGGUUCAAUUCCCCCCAUCUCCAG
rnacentral:tmRNA from 1 species